GUGCUCACGUUGGGAGCACAUAAACUAAAAUUGGAACGAUACAGAGAAGAUUAGCAUGGCCCCUGUGCACGAAUGACACAUAAAUUGGUGAAGUGUUCCAUAUUUAA
rnacentral:snRNA from 1 species